rnacentral:rRNA from 1 species
ACAAGCCUGAGAAACGGCUAGUAGGACUAAGGUCUGCAGCAGGCGCGAAACUUACACAAUGCUAGAUUUUUGAUGAUUAGCGAUGUAGUGAAGAAAAAUAACGAUGUGCUUGUUUUUAAACAAACUUGCACAAUUGGAAUGAGACGACUUUAAAAGGGUCAGUCGAGUAACAAAUGGAGGGCAAGUCUGGUGCCAGCAGCCGCGGUAAUUCCAGCUCCAUUAGCAUACAUUAAAGUUGUUGCGGUUAAAAAGCUCGUAGUUGAAUUUUGGACGAGUUCUUGGGUUGGGCGGCCGUCAAGGGACACUUCGGUGUCCUGGUCGUCUUUUACCUGUUGAGCUCGUUGUUUCGUCACUUAAUCGAGUGCGAAGCGGGGCGGAAUGAGUAUAAAACUUCGGUUUUUCAUUACGCCAUGUUUACCUUGAGAAAAUUAGAGUGCUCAGAGCAGGCAGUUGGGGUGUAAAAACCUCUUUAUGCUUGAAUAAUGUUGCAUGGAAUAAUAGAAUACGGCCUCGGUUCUAUUCUGUUGGUCUUAUAGAACAACAAACAAGUUGGUUAUGGCGUUAAAUGUUUCAAUUUGGAGUGGCAUUGUAUUGCUUGUUGUCUUGAACCUAAAAAUUCAAGUACCAUCAAUAUUUUGUCAUCAAAGCUCCUUAUUGUAAGCAAGCCACCAGCCAACUGAGGCAAUGGUUAAAAGAAAUAGUCGCGGCGGCAUCAGUACUGCAUCGUGAGAG